rnacentral:rRNA from 1 species
GACGAACGCUGGCGGCGUGCUUAACACAUGCAAGUCGAACGGAAAGGCCCUGCUUGCAGGGUACUCGAGUGGCGAACGGGUGAGUAACACGUGGGUGAUCUGCCCUGCACUUCGGGAUAAGCCUGGGAAACUGGGUCUAAUACCGGAUAGGAGCCAUUUUUAGUGUGAUUGUUGGAAAGUUUUUUCGGUGUAGGAUGAGCUCGCGGCCUAUCAGCUUGUUGGUGGGGUAAUGGCCUACCAAGGCGGCGACGGGUAGCCGGCCUGAGAGGGUGGACGGCCACAUUGGGACUGAGAUACGGCCCAGACUCCUACGGGAGGCAGCAGUGGGGAAUAUUGCACAAUGGGCGCAAGCCUGAUGCAGCGACGCCGCGUGGGGGAUGACGGCCUUCGGGUUGUAAACUCCUUUCGCUAGGGACGAAGCUUUUUGUGACGGUACCUAGAUAAGAAGCACCGGCUAACUACGUG